GAUGAAGAACGUAGCGAAAUGCGAUAAGUAGUGUGAAUUGCAGAAUUCAGUGAAUCAUCGAAUCUUUGAACGCACAUUGCGCCCCUUGGUAUUCCAUGGGGCAUGCCUGUUCGAGCGUCAUUUGUACCUUCAAGCUCUGCUUGGUGUUGGGUGUUUGUCUCGCCUCUGCGUGUAGACUCGCCUCAAAACAAUUGGCAGCCGGCGUAUUGAUUUCGGAGCGCAGUACAUCUCGCGCUUUGCACUCAUAACGACGACGUCCAAAAGUACAUUUUUACACUUUUGACCUCGGAUCAGGUAGGGAUACCCGCUGAACUUAAGCAUAUCAAUAAGCGGAGGA
rnacentral:misc_RNA from 1 species